rnacentral:rRNA from 1 species
GGAUUAGCUAGUAGGUGGGGUAAAGGCUCACCUAGGCGACGAUCCCUAGCUGGUCUGAGAGGAUGACCAGCCACACUGGAACUGAGACACGGUCCAGACUCCUACGGGAGGCAGCAGUGGGGAAUAUUGCACAAUGGGCGCAAGCCUGAUGCAGCCAUGCCGCGUGUAUGAAGAAGGCCUUCGGGUUGUAAAGUACUUUCAGCGGGGAGGAAGGGAGUAAAGUUAAUACCUUUGCUCAUUGACGUUACCCGCAGAAGAAGCACCGGCUAACUCCGUGCCAGCAGCCGCGGUAAUACGGAGGGUGCAAGCGUUAAUCGGAAUUACUGGGCGUAAAGCGCACGCAGGCGGUUUGUUAAGUCAGAUGUGAAAUCCCCGGGCUCAACCUGGGAACUGCAUCUGAUACUGGCAAGC